GAUGAACGCUGGCGGCGUGCCUAAUACAUGCAAGUCGAGCGAACAGAUAAGGAGCUUGCUCCUUUGACGUUAGCGGCGGACGGGUGAGUAACACGUGGGUAACCUAUCUAUAAGACUGGAAUAACUCCGGGAAACCGGGGCUAAUGCCGGAUAACAUGUUGAACCGCAUGGUUCUACAGUGAAAGGCGGCUUUGCUGUCACUUAUAGAUGGACCCGCGCCGUAUUAGCUAGUUGGUGAGGUAACGGCUCACCAAGGCAACGAUACGUAGCCGACCUGAGAGGGUGAUCGGCCACACUGGAACUGAGACACGGUCCAGACUCCUACGGGAGGCAGCAGUAGGGAAUCUUCCGCAAUGGGCGAAAGCCUGACGGAGCAACGCCGCGUGAGUGCUGAAGGUCUUCGGAUCGUAAAACUCUGUUAUUAGGGAAGAACAAAUGCGUAAGUAACUGUGCGCGUCUUGACGGUACCUAAUCAGAAAGCCACGGCUAACUACGUG
rnacentral:rRNA from 1 species